rnacentral:snRNA from 1 species
GUGCUCACUUAGGCAACACAUCUACUAACACUGGAAAGAUACAGAGAAGAUGAACAUGGCUCCUGCACAAGGGUGACCUGCCAACUCUCACAGUAUUCCAUAGUUAA